AUGCGAACUGGGAGUACUACGAGCUGGGCCGGUCGGCGUCGCGCACAAGGUGGACUUCCGCGAGGGCGACGGGCUCGCGGAGCUCGACAAGAUCCUGUCCGAGGACGGCGGCGCCAGGGCCGGCACUUCGACUUCGCGUACGCGGACGCGGACAAGCUGCAGUACGCGGGGUACCACGAGCGGCUGCUGCGCCUGGUGCGCGUCGGCGCCGCCAUCGCCUACGACAACACGCUCUGGGGCGGCUCCGUGGCGAUGCCCCGUGACAAGCCGGGCAGCUCCGAGUACGACCGCUGGUGCGGGACAGCCUCGUCGGGUUCAACGCCGCCGUCGCGGCGGACGACCGCGUCGAGGCCUGCAUCGUCCCCAUCGCCGACGGCGUCACGCUGUGCCGCCGCGUCAAGUGAGAUGCAUAUCUACCAGCCGUGUCAGAUGCAUAUCUGCCAGUAG
rnacentral:rRNA from 1 species